AUCUACGGUCAUGCCACCCUGAACAUGCCCAAUCUCAUCUGAUCUCGGAAGUUAAGCAGGGUUGGGCCUGGUUAGUACUUGGAUGGGAGACCAUGACUACCUAGGAAUACCAGGUGCUGUAGGCA
rnacentral:rRNA from 1 species